rnacentral:rRNA from 1 species
UACAGAGGCCUCGAGCGUUAAUCGGAAUCACUGGGCUUAAAGGGUGCGUAGGCGGCGCUGCAAGAUGCCUUGUGAAAUCCCAUCGCUUAACGAUGGAACUGCUCGGUAGACUGCAGUGCUUGAGGUUGGUAGGGGCUGCCGGAACUCUAGGUGGAGCGGUGAAAUGCGUAGAUAUCUAGAGGAACGCCCAGGCGAAGGCAGGCGCUGGGCCAAUCUGACGGCUGAGGCACGAAAGCGUGGGGAGCAAAGCGGGGAAUUAGCAA